GCUCCGUUAGUAUAGUGGUUAGUACGGGACGUUGUGGUCAAAGUCGCAUUUGACAAAUCCGUCCAGACGAGGGUUCGAUUCCCCCACAGGGCA